GGGUCUUUAGCUCAGUUGGUUAGAGCCCUCCGCUCAUAACGGAGUGGUCAUGUGUUCGAGUCACAUAGGACCCACCA
rnacentral:tRNA from 25 species